AACACGGGAUAAAAGGUCUAAAGUGAAUCAGUGUAAUCACAUCUCUAUAAACAUAAUGGAUAAAUGUGAGGUGCAGAGAAAGAAACAUAAAUGUGGCUGAGAAGGUUAAUCUUACAUCAUAUACCAUUUGCCUAAAAAUGGAAACAGGGACAACUGGAUAUAGAAAACUGAAAGAAAUAUCCGGAAUGGGUCCGAAGUCAAGGGAAUGAACUACAUUAUCUUCCCAGACAACUAAAACUUGUUUAAGAUAUGGGUAUUCAAGUCACACGACCUCUGGCAAGGAGCCAAUGAGUCUCUGCCCAGCAUGUGAGCCAGAUGGCUGAACUAGGGAAGAUGAUAAAUUCAGAUGACUUGCAGAGACAUCUGGUAACCUCAGGCCCAGCUCCACUCCAGGGGUGAAUCUGGCCUUUUAAAAAAAGUCCUUUGAGACAUACUAUUUAAGCGCUGAUGGUACACAAUGAAUUGUAUUUUUGUUAAUGAUAACACUAGUAAUAACAGCUGGCCUGUCAAUAUUGUGGGAGCAAACACACUCUCCUUUCACUGUAACAGAAAACUAAACCACCUGCUGGCUUGGAGGGGGCAGUACCCUGUAACAAGUGUGGAUGGAAGGAAAGAUCAGAUCUCUGUUAAGUGUUGUGGGGAAAAACAAGAGAGAUCAGACUGUCACUGUGUCUGUGUAGAAAGAAGUAGACAUGGGAGACUCCAUUUUGUUAUGUACUAAGAAAAAUUCUUCUGCCUUGAGAUUCUGUGACCUUACCCCCAACCCCGUGCUCUCUGAAACAUGUGCUGUGUCAAACUCAGGGUUAAAUGGAUUAAGGGCGGUGCAAGAUGUGCUUUG
rnacentral:lncRNA from 1 species